UUUUUUUUUGUAAUUUUCGUAAACAGUUUACAUGUUUAUAAAAUGAUUGAAUCAAAAGUGUUCAUGUUUCAUGAAACAUUCAUAUUACUAAAAUUCAAAUUCACGUACAAAAACAUUUUUUGGAGUUUCGAACACGAAAAGAAAGGUAAAAGAAAUUUUCUAGAUCUGCGCUCUUACGUAAUCAUGACCUCUUAUUAUAUAUUUUGGCUAGCACAAAAUAAAUCUUUUUUGGAGGUCUCGUGUUCAUUACUAGGUAUUGCAAAAGAAUUUUUAGGUAGGUAUUAAGAAAACCUAUGAACUACUUACUACUGGGAGCCAGCGAGCCAGCCAGGCUCGAUCUCCAGCUGAGUCCAGGAUCUUUCCUGAGUUUUUUUGGGUCACGCUGAUGUAGGGGUGGGCACUAUAAAACCGAAAACCGAAAAACCAAACUCAACCGAACCGUAUUAAUCGACUUGUCAAUUUAUUUUGUGGUUUGAUUUUUCGUUCGGUGGAAAAUUUUAAGGUUGCUCGGUGUUUUGUUUUUGUUCGGUUUUUGGUUCCCAGAAACCGAAUAGAUCGAACAAACCGAUAUGUGAGAUACCCCAUGUAAUACCUUGUUUCCAAAAGUGCAACAGUAUGGAGGCAUCACACAUUUCUCCGCACAUAAUACAUUUCAUGUUCCAUGUGCUUUUUCUACUUAACUACGGUUACUAGUUUGCUUGACCGAAUAAACUGUAGAAUGAUAUUAAAGUUGGUAGAACUUGUGAUUAUACUUUUGCAUAGUAUACAAUCCAAAUCAGAGCUCUCGAGUCAUUACACUUAUACUGAUAAUUGCAUGAAUUUUGAUUUUUUGGUUAACCAAACAGACCGAACCGAUAUAUUACGGUUAAUAUGGAUCGGUUUCUAAAUUUUAAUUGAUUAUUUCGGUUUCAAUUCCUCCGAAACCGAAAUUAUAUAGAACCGAAUAAACCAAACCGUAUUAACCAUAUAAACCGAACGCCCAGCCCUACGCUGAUGCUGCUGAGAGUCCGACGUGUGCGUAGCCGCGUACGCGACUCUAAUCACACUUUUUUUUAUCGCGGCAGCCCCGUCCGCUGGCAGGCCGCUCGUCGCCUUGUACAUACUACAUACUACAUACUACAUACUACAGAGACAUGCCCUCCUGUACUGAGAUUUUGCUUCCUUUCAAAAAAUUUAAAUUCAUAGACAUAUCAGCGGUCGCGAACGAGCUCGAAAAAAACUGGAUGCUCCAGCCAGAACGACUCAAAGCGGAAGCGACGGGGAACCCUCCCCCAAUGAGAAAAUCAAGGGCAUAUCGUCGCAACCAAUCCGAGUGACCGUCUUGAGGGAGCAGAGUGGAAACAUCACUUCCCACUGAGCCGACACAAAGACCCGAUCCAAGACACUCCGGAUGGGGUCCGUCUGUUUAUUCGACCAUGUGAACCUAGCCCCAACGUGCACGGAGCGCCGGGUCAACAAUGCAGUCGUUGAACAGACGCAUUCGGGCCUGGUCCACAUUAGGAAAGCUUUUAUCAGAAGCCCACCUAAUGAGGUUAAAGUCGCCGGCCACCACCACCGGAGUGGUGCACCUCUCCAACUUGUUUUUCAACUCGGCGAGGAAGUCAGCAGAGCGGCCAUGGUCCGCCGGACCAUAGACGAUAAUCACCUCCCAGCUGAGGUGAACUCGUCGGUCAGCGACGGACAUGCUCACAAAGAAUUCCCCACGGUCCAUAUCCUCAACCGAGAAAGCAUCCUCCCUAACUCAGAGGAGGAUGCCUCCAGAGUGGCCCGUAGCAGGCAGCCACUGCCAGGCAAACUGGUGAUGGGAAAGCCUCUGGAGCUCAUGUAUGCUAAAAUCCUGGCGAAUCAUCUCCUGUAAUCCCACUAUGUCAAUCGCUUCCUGUCGCACAUACUCGAUGAGCUGCCGACGCCAGCCAGAGAGGCCGAAGCGCCUGAUGUUCCAACAUAGAAGCUUCAUUUAAUAACCUCAGUUGAGAUCCUAGGCCUUGCAAGCGGGGCCGAGCAAGCCCGACCAUCAAUCGCGGGUCGGGGGAGAACCUUAGACGGGCGUCCACGUCGCCCCGCGCAGAGGGGGCAGCGGAGGCCCCUGGUCCGAGGGAGGUGGACCUAGAGCUAGGUCCACGCACCUCAAGCCGGUGCUCAGUGGGACUGAGACGUGUGGGGGGACGUCCGCGUAGAGCCCUCACCAAGGAGGGAAUUGACACGGAGGUCCCAGCUACAGUCUACAUCGAUGCCGAUGCACCACCGCUGGUCUCUCUAUGACCAGGGUCAGAGGGCUCAGAGGAGCUGGGAGCACCACGUGCAGCACAGGCACGGGCAUCCCCCAGCGCCCCCUCGAGCUUCUCCUUGGCGCAAAUAGCGGAAAUCAGCUCCAGCAUGAGCCCCUUCUCACCUCGGAACACAAUGCCACUAUCGGUAGCCACUACAGCCAGAUGAGGCACCAACUCGCAACUAUGAAUAGAAUAUCGAGAGUCAGCGCGAGAAGUAGCGGGAGGGAAGGUGGAAGUCCCUGGGGACAGGUCACGAGCAGCCGCUCACAGGGUGGCCUUCUCCUGGAUCGUAGGGACACGACCAUCUAGAAGGACCCGAGACUGGCUGAGCCUCGCACACUGGUGCACAGACACCAACGGAGAGGCCCCAUCCCGAGCCGUGGGGCCGGCUGCUGCAGGGGUCACAGCCGGCAAGCCCAGGUCCAGGGGCGGCGGCGGCUCGCGCUCGAGGGACCCGAAGGCUAGGGAAGAGGGUGACCCCGGCGAGCGCGAGUAGCAGACUACCCCCGGCGAGCGCUGAUAUGUCUCUGUCGUAUCUACUUUUCCAAACUCUUUUGCCCUUGUUUUGGACUCUAAUUUGCAUGAUUUGAAUGGAACUAACCCGGACUGACGCUGUUUUCAGCAUAAUUGCCAUGGUGUUGUUUUUGUGCAGAAAUAAAAGUUCUCGGAAUGUCCUGAAAAUUUAUGGAGAAUUUUUAUGAAAUAUAUGAAAAAUACCUGCGCAAAGAUCCACCGGAGGGGGUGUGCCAGUGGGCCACGAGCCCAGGAGGCGUGCCCAUGCUACUGCGACAACAGACCUUCCCUGGCAACGGCGCCAGGAAUCCUUCUGUCACGGGCUACACCUAUAGGGACUUCCUUCGCAAAUAUGCAAAGGUUUUCCCCGCGACCUUGGAGUCUUGCGUUGGUGUUCCCUUGAAGAGGAAAGGAUGAUCUAGCACAACGGCAGUAAGUAUUUCCCUCAGUUUGAAAACCAAGGUAUCGAUCCAGUGGGAGGAUCGCGUCAAGUCACAAGUACCUACACAAACACAAAGAGCUUGCACCCAACGCUAUGAAGGGGUUGUCAAUUCCUUAUAGAUUGUUUGCAAAGUAAGAACUGAAAGCAAAAAGUAAACCAAGUAAUGUAAAAGUGAAACUUGAGACGAUAGUUGUGAAUAGACCCGGGGGCCGUAGUGUUCAUUAGUGGCUUCUCUCAUGAAAGCAAGUAGACGGUGGGUGAACGAAUUACUGUCGAACAAUUGAUAGAACCGCGCAAAGUCGUGACGUUAUCUAUCGCAAUGAUUAUAUCUAUAGGCAUCACGUCCAAAACAAGUAGACCGAUACUUUCUACAUCUACUACUAUUACUCCACACGUCGACCGCUAUCAAGCAUGCAUCUAGUGUAUUAAGUUCAAAAGAACAUAGUAACGUCUUAAGCAAGAUGAUAUGAUGUAGAUGGACAAUCUCAAAUCUAUGAUGAAAGCCCAUCUUGUUACCCUUGAUGGCAACAACACGAUGUGUGCCUUGCUGCCCCUUCUGUCACUAGGAAAGGUCACCGCACGGUCUGAACCCAAAACCAAGCACUUCUCCCAUUGCAAGAAUCAUAGAUCUAGUUGGCCAAACAAAACCCAAGACUCGGAGAAACUUACAAGGAUAUCAAAUCAUGCAUAUAAGAAAUCAGCAAAGACUCAAAUAUAAUUCAUAGAUAAUCUGAUCACAAAUCCACAAUUCAUCGGAUCUCGACAAACACACCGCCAAAGAGGAUUACAUCGGAUAGAGCUCCAUGAAUAUCAUGGAGAACAUUGUAUUGAAGAUCCAAGAGAGAGAAGAAUUAAUCUAGCUACUAACUACGGACCCGUAGGUCUGAAGUGGACUACUCACGAGUCAUUGGAGAGGCGAUGAUGUUGAUGUAGAAGCCCUCCAACUCCAAAGUCCCCUCCGGGAGGGCACCGGGAAGGGUCUCCAGAUGAAAUCUCAAGGAAACGGAAGCUUGCGGCAGCGGAAAAGUGUUUUCGUGGAUGCCGUGAUUUUUUCUGUGAUUUUAGAGAAUUUAUAGGCCAAAGAGGUAGGGCAAGGGAGCGCCAGGGAGGCCACAAGCCUGGUUGCCGCGGGCCCCCCUGGCCACGGCAACAGGGCUUGUGGGCUCCCUGUGGGCCCCCUGCCUUAGCUCUCAAGUCCUCUGAUCUUCUUCUGUUCUGAAAAAUUUAUUUUGGGGAUUUUAUUCCGUUUGGACUCCGUUCCAAAAUCAGAUCUGAAAAGAGUCAAAAACACAGAAAAAACAGGAACUGGCACUUGGCACUGAAUUAAUAAGUUAGUCCCAAAAAAAUAUGAAACGUAUACAAUACAUUCAAAGUUGACAAGAUAACAGCGUGAAACCAUCGAAAAUUAUAGAUACGUUUGAGACGUAUCAGGCCACCCCCUGGUCGCGCCUACGAGGCUCGUGAGGCCCACAUUGCUCCACCGCCUCCAAUUCCAGCUCUAUUUAUUCCUUCCGCCCGGAAAAAAAUCCAGGAGAAGAGUUCAUCGCGUUUUACGAUAAGGAGGCGCCGCCACAUCCCGUUCUUGCCCUAGAGGGCAGAUCUGGAGUCCGUUUUGGGCUCCGGAGAGGGGAGAUCAUCGCCAUCGUCAUCAUCAACCUUCCUUCAUCGCCAAUUCCAUGAAGGUCUUCACCGUUCGUGAGUAAUCUAUUCGUAGGCUUGCUGGACGGUGAUGAGUUGGAUGAGAUCUAUCAUGUAAUCGAGUUAGUUUUGACGGGGAUUGAUCCCUAGUAUCCACUAUGUUCUGAGAUUGAUGUUGCUACUACUUUGCCAUGCUUAAUGCUUGUUACUAGGGCCCGAGUGCCAUGAUUUCAGAUCUGAAAUUAUUAUGUUGUCAUCAAUAUAUGUGUGUUUUGGAUCCGAUCUUGCAAGUUGUAGUCACCUACUAUGUGUUAUGACCCGGCAACCCGGAGAGCCGGGGGCUCCCUGUCCCGGGCAUCCGCGGGGAGGCGGGCCGUCAACUCCGCCCGGAGCGCGCCCUCCCGGUCGACGCCUUCUUAGCGCAGAUGAUCAGCCUCCCGAGGACGAGCGUCACCCGGUGCACCAGGGAGCGGGAGCCGAACAUCUUUGGCCGGAUCACGGGGAGGAGGGGGACAACGAAGCGAGGUACCCGGGUAGUAUUCCGGGGACCUCGCCGGUCGUAGAGCCCUCCCCGUCUGGAAGGAGGAGGCACCCCGGCAAAACCAGUAGCAGGAUGGGAGGGAGGGCCGUCGGUCGCAUGGUGGGGGGCCGACCCCGACGACAGGGGCCGUUUCGGGCGCGCCAGCCCGUCCCCGGCAAGGCGGGUCAUCACGACGUCGAGGUAGGACCGAAGAGGCGGGGACACCGUGGAGGGAGGGAGGGGAUCGGGUCGUUGCGUCGGGGUCGCGAGCGAGGAGGAGUAUGGCGACGCGACCACGGAUCGGGAGGUGGACGGGAGGGGCUCUGUGCGGCGCGACGCGAGCGAGUAGGGGGAUAGCGGCGCGACAAGGGAUUGGGAGACGAACGGGGCAACCCUACCCCGUCAUCUCACCUAUUCCCGAGUAGCAGGCCACCCGGCCCACGGCCCAGAACCCUGGCGGUCGAGCCAGACCCAUCUUGAGGGAUCUUCGUGGGCCAGGCCCCAAUCACGGUUAGCAGAAGCCACCGCCAAAUGCACCUGAGAACAAGCCUCCGCCACAACCUGGGCUGAGAGGGGUCCCGACCCAUCACCACACGGCCCAGUAGGGUUACGGCCGGACCUGUCACCAACCGCCCUCAUCGCAACGGACAGUACCAAACCCCGCAUCCGCGCCGCCCUCGCCGGACCGGACCACAGCAUGAACGUCGCCGGCGUGGCCGGCCAUCCCCUGCAAUACCUCGUCGACCCGAGCAACGGGCGCCACCACGGGGAUAACCCAGACGGCGUGGCGGGCCAUCCCCUGCAGUACUUCGUCGACCCGGGCAACGGGCGCCACCACGGGGGAUAACCCGGACGGCGCGGCGGGCCGAGCAACGGCUGGAGAGGGGCGAGAGACGCAGGCCAGAGAAGAAGCCGGCCGCCGGGCAGAAGGGGCACACCGUUGCGCCGUCGCCGCCUUUCCCCAUCGACAGGGCGGGCCGCCGCCCAGAAUUCCUCGGGCAGAAGCGGCCCCACGAGACCGGGAGUUCAACCAGACCCCCCCCCCCCCCUCGUCCUCCUCCUCCUCUGCCCAGUCAGCCCACGAGGACGACGACCGCGAGAAACAGAAAGUAGGUCUGCCGCUCCCAGCCGAGGCCAUGGCCGGAGUCUCGUCGGCGGCCAACCCCGCGCCCCGCGCCGGCAAGCGAGGGGCUACGCGCGAGCCAGGCUCCCGUCAACGCAGUCGCCUUUCACCUGUUGAGUUCAGAAGCAAUGCACCUCUCUACGGGGUCGAGUGCGCUGCGAUGGACAUGCUGCAUACAACAUGCUCAAUAAAUGCAUACAACAUUGACAGCUCGGAGCGCCAGCUUGACGAGUACAAUUAGUGAACAAACUAAAAAACAUGAAUAAAGUAAAACAAAGUUAUUUUCUUUCACUGACGAGUACAAUUAAAAGAGAUCGGAUCGGGAGACUGGCAGCACCUGGAUCCGCCGCCGUGCACGGGAGGGCCGGCAACCACACCCGAUGAAGCGCCGCCAUUCACACGAGCUUCUUCCCCAUGCCUUCGUCCUUCCCUCCCAUCCUCUUCCCCUAGCGCCUAGCCGCCAUGUCGUGCCGCUGUGCAUGGCGUGCCACCACGCGUCAACUUUAAAUUGGCGCCUCCUCGGUGCAUAGGCCUACAUGACGGGACUUGCCGGAGUGGGCUGUGGAGCGGACGAUGAUGCAGAAGGUGAUGGCGGCUCAGGACGCCUGACGGUUAUGUAUCUGGCAUAUCUCAUAGUAGGGCAUGAACACAUGAUUUUACCCACGCUCGGGCUCUCUCAAAGAGAUAAUAAUUUACGUCCUGCUUUUGAUUGUAUUGAUGUGGGGAUAGUAUAUAGUACGUGUCUUUACUAUAAGAGAUUGUAGUAAUGGAUAUGAGAUUCGCGAUUGUCUAUUGACUAGCUUGGCCUCGGUCUAUAUAAUGUACCGUAUGUCUAGGGUUUAGAGAAAUCUUUGUCUUGUGCGUCAAGUCUUCUGGAACCUCCCCUAUAUGCAUUAUGGGUUGUCCGAACUAGGCCAUUAGUGAACCGUCAUGGGGAUCCUCGGCCCGCUCUAUUGGUCGGGAGAUGACGUGGUGAGUGCCCCUAGUCCACGACACCAUCAGCGCCCACAUCCAGGAGCCUCACGACGAUUUGGAGGCUUGCGCGGACUUGCCGACGAGGCUCCUCCUCGUGGUUCUUACUAGUGGUUGGGGCCCGCCAAUGACGGGCCUCCUGAGUGUGCUUGUGGCUCACUUGGCUUGGUGGUGUAGUUGUCCAAGUGUAUAUGCAAUCCACAAAGAAAGAUAUCCCAGACAUUCCCUUUCUAGAAAAGAAAGGGAAGAUUCGUCUAUGGAACUAAGCACAAAGAAAGAUAUUCCACACAUUCCCUUUCUAAAAAAGACUACAAAGAUUCACCUAUGGAACUAAGGUUAGAACUCCAAUUUCCACUACUUAAAUACCAAGUUAGUUUCUGGGAAACAAGAGAAACAAAACCUUCUAAUAUUAAUAAAUAUAUCAUGUAAUUUCUCAUCCAUGUUUUCCAUCAAAUAUAUAUUAUCCUCCUAGAACAACUACCGUUGAAAUUGUGGUUGAAUUGGAAAGCCUUGGUCACCCUCAAUCUCACCAAGCAUUCAGAACAGGACACCAACCAAAUUGCAUGACCAUGGACAGUUCUAGCAGUGCUGAAUUAUUAUUUACAUCUCACAACUGAACUAUCAUUAGGUGAGAAAAGUUCAAAAAAAAAGUGUGCCUAAACUUAAGAAACAUAUCAACAUGGGC
rnacentral:lncRNA from 1 species